AAAAAAACAAAAGGGGAGGGGUUUCUCUGCUAGGGUUUCGACCCUAGCACCUUCAUGCCGCCACCGUCGUGCCCACUGUGAGGCCACCGCGAAUGGCGCUCGAAACCAGGAAUAACGUGCAUGGUGGGUGCGGGGCGACGUGCGCAACGUGUGGGGGUGACGUUGGGGCGGUUACUGCGGCGCCAAUUUGCUGCCACUGCUUAGGGUUUCUGCUGUAUUGUGUUUUUGCUGAGGGCCACACUGUAGUUAGGCUAGGCUUUAGGUUAGUGGGCUAGGUAUUGGAUCAUUUGGGUUUAGGUUUUUUGUAAAAAUGGACUGUGUUUUUUUUUGUUUUUGUUUUUUAUUUUUAUGUUUAUUUAUUUGA